rnacentral:rRNA from 1 species
UGAAGCGGCAACAGCUCAAAUUUGAAAUCUGGCUCUUUCAGAGUCCGAGUUGUAAUUUGCAGAGGGCGCUUUGGCUUUGGCAGCGGUCCAAGUUCCUUGGAACAGGACGUCACAGAGGGUGAGAAUCCCGUACGUGGUCGCUAGCUAUUGCCGUGUAAAGCCCCUUCGACGAGUCGAGUUGUUUGGGAAUGCAGCUCUAAAUGGGAGGUAAAUUUCUUCUAAAGCUAAAUAUUGGCCAGAGACCGAUAGCGCACAAGUAGAGUGAUCGAAAGAUGAAAAGCACUUUGGAAAGAGAGUCAAACAGCACGUGAAAUUGUUGAAAGGGAAGCGCUUGCAGCCAGACUUGCUUGCAGUUGCUCAUCCGGGCUUUUGCCCGGUGCACUCUUCUGCAGGCAGGCCAGCAUCAGUUUGGGCGGUGGGAUAAAGGUCUCUGACACGUUCCUUCCUUCGGGUUGGCCAUAUAGGGGAGACGUCAUACCACCAGCCUGGACUGAGGUCCGCGCAUCUGCUAGGAUGCUGGCGUAAUGGCUGUAAGCGGCCCGUCUUGAAACACGGACCAAGGAGUCUAACAUCUAUGCGAGUGUUUGGGUGUCAAGCCCGAGCGCGUAAUGAAAGUGAACGGAGGUGGGAACCCGCAAGGGCGCACCAUCGACCGAUCCUGAAGUUUACGGAAGGAUUUGAGUAAGAGCAUGGCUGUUGGGACCCGAAAGAUGGUGAACUAUGCUUGAAUAGGGUGAAGCCAGAGGAAACUCUGGUGGAGGCUCGCAGCGGUUCUGACGUGCAAAUCGAUCGUCAAAUUUGGGCAUAGGGGCGAAAGACUAAUCGAACUAUCUAGUAGCUGGUUCCUGCCGAAGUUUCCCUCAGGAUAGCAGUAACGUAUUCAGUUUUAUGAGGUAAAGCGAAUGAUUAGAGGCAUGGGGGUUGAAACAACCUUCACCUAUUCUCAAACUUUAAAUAUGUAAGAAGCCCUUUGUUACUUAAUUGAACGCGGGCAUUUGAAUGAAACGUUAUUAGUGGGCCAUUUUUGGUAAGCAGAACUGGCGAUGCGGGAUGAACCGAACGAGGGGUUACGGUGCCGGAGUACACGCUCAUCAGACACCACAAAAGGUGUUGGUUCAUCUAGACAGCAGGACGGUGGCCAUGGAAGUCGGAAUCCGCUAAGGAGUGUGUAACAACUCACCUGCCGAAUGAACUAGCCCUGAAAAUGGAUGGCGCUCAAGCGUGUCACCUAUACCCCUCCGCCGGGGCAAAAUUUACGCCCCGGCGAGUAGGCAGGCGUGGAGGCUCGUGACG